rnacentral:rRNA from 1 species
CCAAAUAUCUAAACGGAGAAAUUCAAUAUUAACCGCAAGGUAUAAUGUGCACUUUUCUCUUAGUAAGACGCCGUGAUUCAUUAGAAAUUGAUGUACGCCAAGUGCAUAGUGGGUCAUCAAUAGGCCAGUAUGAAGUUUAUUGGAACAAAUGGCAUGAUCUUUAACGGUUGUGUGUAUUGUCUGGUAAGCAUGCUGUGUCCUGCAAUGACUGUCUGAUGAGUUUUAAAGAUUUGCCAUUAACAAUGUCUUGUGCAUUGGCGCUUGUCGCAUGUAAUGGAURUAUCUGAUCGACGGCGGUUAAAUUUGGGAUACCUUUUGGACCCGUCUUGAAACACGGACCAAGGAGUCUAUCUAGUAUGCGAGUAAAUGGAUAAUUGAUGAAAUCUAUUUGCGUAAUAAACUUGACUGUUGUGGGAUUACGAUUUGUAAUUCACGUUACAUUUCUUCCUUCCCGGGGUAUUUUCAUCCACAUAUAUGCAAAUAUAUGGAAAAUAUACCAUGAGCACACUGGAUACGACCCGAAAGAUGGUGAACUAUGCCUGAUCAGGUCGAAGUCAGGGGAAACCCUGAUGGAGGACCGAAGCAGUUCUGACGUGCAAAUCGAUUGUCAGAAUUGGGCAUAGGGGCGAAAGACCAAUCGAACCAUC